rnacentral:lncRNA from 1 species
UUUCAGGUGAAGAAGGUGAAGAAGGAGAUCCCGAGGAUGACCCUGAAGCCAAUGGAGAUGGUGGGAGUGACGAAGAGGAUGAUGAUGACGACGAUGAUGAUGGGGAUGAAGAUGAUGAUGAUGACGAUGAUGGUGAGGAUGAAGAAGAGGAGGACGAAGAAGAUGAGGAUGAUGAGGUUCCUCAGCCACCUUCUAAGAAGAGGAAAUAAAUCUAGUCAUAGGUCUUGAGAUAUUCUACUAUUUCCUGCUUUUUUCCUCUCUGGGUGAGGAAAUUUUAGUAGGGAGGGAGAUUGCAGCUUGUUUGUUUGCUUAGAG